AUGGGCGUCGAGCGGCGGACGGGUGAGUAAUGCCUAGGAAAUUGCCUUGAUGUGGGGGAUAACCAUUGGAAACGAUGGCUAAUACCGCAUAAUGCCUACGGGCCAAAGAGGGGGACCUUCGGGCCUCUCGCGUCAAGAUAUGCCUAGGUGGGAUUAGCUAGUUGGUGAGGUAAUGGCUCACCAAGGCGACGAUCCCUAGCUGGUCUGAGAGGAUGAUCAGCCACACUGGAACUGAGACACGGUCCAGACUCCUACGGGAGGCAGCAGUGGGGAAUAUUGCACAAUGGGCGAAAGCCUGAUGCAGCCAUGCCGCGUGUAUGAAGAAGGCCUUCCGGUUGUAAAGUACUUUCAGUUGUGAGGAAGGGUGUGUAGUUAAUAGCUGCAUAUCUUGACGUUAGCAACAGAAGAAGCACCGGCUAACUCCGUGCCAGCAGCCGCGGUAAUACGGAGGGUGCGAGCGUUAAUCGGAAUUACUGGGCGUAAAGCGCAUGCAGGUGGUUCAUU
rnacentral:rRNA from 1 species